rnacentral:rRNA from 1 species
CGAAAGCCUGACGGAGCAAUGCCGCGUGAAGGAUGAAGGCCUGUGGGUCGUAAACUUCUUUUCUCAGAGAAGAAAUUUUGACGGUAUCUGAGGAAUAAGCAUCGGCUAACUCUGUGCCAGCAGCCGCGGUAAGACAGAGGAUGCAAGCGUUAUCCGGAAUGAUUGGGCGUAAAGCGUCUGUAGGUGGUUUGACAAGUCUCCUGUCAAAGAUCAGGGCUUAACCCUGGGCCGGCAGGAGAAACUAUCAGGCUAGAGUUCGGUAGGGGCAGAGGGAAUUCCCGGUGGAGCGGUGAAAUGCGUAGAUAU